AUGAACUGAGGCCAAGGUUCUUACCGAGCAGGAAGAAUGGCUCUCGCAGUCUCAGUGUCUGUAUUUAAAGAGCUGGAGACCGGAGCUUUGUGUUAAGAGCGUUGACUGUUUCUGACUCAGGCUGAGCAGUGGGUGAACAGUGAUUCCAGCAUAAACCUUUGAGGAGAAGAAGGAUUUCCCAAUGGAACCCAGCCGAACCGAGAGUGUGCAGUAUGAUCGCUGGAAUGAGGACAACAUCAACAUGAAUGUGGCGGCAUCACAGUCCACUAUGACGAGGAUCUACAACACAGUGUGUGUCGGCAGCACUGGUGUAAUAGUGAAGACAGCAGGAGCUCUGGCUGCACUGGUGUCUAUCUACAUCAUAGGAUACGCGACAGGAUACUACGUCCAUAGGUGCUGAUGGUGGAGCCCAACCUGGAGAGAAAAAAGCCCUCGCACAUUGUAGAUGAAGCCACAAAUUUAAGAAGACCAUGAUGACAAUAUGGCAUCUUUAUGCAGAAGAGCAAUCAAUCCAAGUGUGUUCAGGAAAUCAGUGAUCAUUUCAGUCGUAUUGUUAUUAACACAAACUCAAGCUUCACAUAGAACUAUGCAAGUAAAUCCUUGUCAGUUCAGUUCAUUAUGUUUGUAUUAAUUUCUAUUCUGAAAAAUAAUUGUUUAUUAAUUAACCUGCAGUGUUGCAACCAUGAAUCCACAAACUGUCAAUUGGAUUUUCAAAACAAAAGUAUAAAGUAUAAAAUGGUGUCUUUCUGAGGAAAAACAGGAAACAGGUUUUGUGUCAUAAUUGAAUUGCAUUCAUUCUGUUGUAAUAUCUGCUUCACAAAUAGUCAGUGCAGGGACAGCAGCAGCAAGGACUGAGGAGAAACAACCCACUGCAGUUUUAAGCAUCAUUACUGCCAUAUUUCUUUCGUAAUACUAGGGCCACCUGCUGCAAGAGCAACACUGAUUAUAUUAAUUAUUUGGCUGUAAGACUUCAGACUUGUUUCCGCAUAUUGUGUAAAUAAUACAUGAAAUUCUUUAUUUUAUUUGAUUCCCCUUCAAAUGAUAUUCCUCUGGUAAGGCUGACCUUUCUUGUGCUGCAAGGUUUUACUGCUUGUUUUUAAGAACUUGUGAGUUUUUAGCACCUACAACCACUGUGGUUGAACAGAAAACAGCUUCAUUAACACAAAAGACCCACAUUGCCUCAGAAACACCACACCAAUCUUUGACAACCUGUUUGACUGAUGAAACUGAUUUGUUCUGCAAAGAAAGCUAACUUUUGGAUUUCAAAUAAAUCUGCCACUUA